rnacentral:snoRNA from 1 species
CAUUAAAAGACCUGGAGCAGUUAAUGUCUGCUGCUAAGGUUUUCACUACAGAUGCAAGAAUAAAAGGUCCCUGUACUUUCUGUCUGGUUGUGGCAGCCAAGGUUUAAUGGGGGAGAACAGGA